GUCCGCACUUCCGACUGGCGCGCAGGGCGGAGCGAGCCUGUAAACCGCGGGCGGAAGAGGUGGAGCUGGGACGGCUCGGUGGCCCCCGGGAGGCUCGCGGAGCCAGGGGGAGGUGUCGCAGGGGUUGGUACCUACAAGUGUAACUGAAACGAGAGAUAGGAGAAACAAGAAAGUUCAAAGAUGUUAUGAACAGACUUGGCAUUGGGGAUUGUCUAGCAUCCUGUGCUGAUUUCUGAGAAGAGCCAUAAAUUACUGCAAUUUGUCAGGAAAUGUUGAUAUGAACAUGGGAAACUUAACCUGGAAGUUAUAAAAUAUUCUGUGCUGAAUUUUGUAAGAAAAGGGACCUUCAUGUGGUAUCUUGAGGCAAUUUACCAGAAAUGCUUACAUAGAAGAGUCUGUAUUGCCAACCUGGCUUCUCCUCACCUAGGAUACUUCGCAGCUCCUGGCGACUCCAGGCACCCCAGGGACCAUGCAUGUGAGGCUUUAUUCACUUCCCAUGAAGGGAGACUGCCAGAAGUCACAUAAGCAAAGAGUGAGGAGUUGGGAGCCUGGAAGCCGGGGAAACAUGAAUCACAACACCCAGAGUUGGGACUUAAGAACACUCCUGUGAGUCACAUCAACUUUUUUAACAUCCAAAUUUAGGGCUAUGGAAAUAAAAUAUUUGGUUAAUUAAAAACCCAAAAUCAAAGCCUCAGUACCAUUUUCUUUUUUUGCUAAAUGACUACAUUUAAAGAAGAUUGAUAAUAUACAAAAGAACCAGCAUGAAGAUUAUAAUAAAAAUGGAAAAGAAUAGGACAAAAUGGAGAUAGAGAAUAGAGCUUAAAAGAAGUUAUCCAGGGUAACAGAAUAAGAAUUUACUCAAAAAGAAAACUUCUCUUCAACUUAGAAAAAUCAAUACUCUUUCUUUCUUUUCUUUCUUCCUUCCUUCCUUCCUUCCUUCCUUCCUUCCUUCCUUCCUUCCUUCCUUCCUUCCUUCCUUCCUUCCUUCCUUCCUUCCUUUCUUUCUUUCUUUCUUUCUUUCUUUCUUUCUUUCUUUCUUUCUUUCCUUUUUCAAUAUUCUCUUUCUAUACUAGCAAAAGCCAACAAGACAAUAAUAGGAUAUAAUAAGCCAUUUGCAAAAGGAAAACAAUUCUGUAUUAUAUAGGAAUUAACCUGGUAAAGAAUGAAAAAGAGAAAAAUCUUAAAACUUGAUUGAAAGACAUAGAAAAUAUCUAAAUAAAUGAAGAUAUGUGUCUGUUUAUCUAUUAUCUAUCUAUUAUCUAUCAUCUAUUAUCUCUAUCUAUCUAUCUAUCUAUCAUCUAUCUCUAUCAUCUACCUGUCACUUGUCUAUCCAUACAUACAUGCUUAAGAGUAAAUAUAUCAUUUUUUUUCCAAAUUAGCCUGUAAAUUCAAUGCAUUUCCAACAAAUUGCCUCAAUCAUGGAGCCUACUGAAAGUGCAAAUUUAGGCAGGCAUUUGUAUGAUGUGACUCCCAGUGCAUGCAACACUCCAUAUUCUAAAGUCACCAUUAGAAUAAUUACUAAGAACAAAGAGAAUGUGAAUAGCAACCAAUAAACAUUAAUGAUAAGCUGUUUGUAGCUAAGAAUGAGUCCUCACGGAGACAUAGCUUUGCUGACCCUGUGAAGUGUUGAUUCAGUGUUCUCAUUUCCAGGAAUAUUGUUUCUAGUGUCAAAUGGGAUAUGGCUGUAUUUGAUGUAGGAAAUGUGAGGACAUGUGACAGCAGUGGGAAGGGUGCAUGUGGAGAAGCUAAGAAGUAGAGCCAGGAACACAUGGGAAAAAGAGAAACAGAGUUUAUACAAUGAUCUAUCAUGUCAAAACUCAUGUGAUGAUGAAAAAAGCUGAAGCUAUGAAGUAGUAAAAAGAAUACACAAUGAAGGAAUGGAUACACCAGUAGCACAGUAGGAGAUAACUCAGCAAAUUGGAAGCCAGAGGAGAGAUAAGCUGAGAGACAGAAUAAUUGGUUCCUACAUAUUUAUCAGUUCCUGACUGCUUAUCUGUUGAGAGUUGUAGUUCUAGACCUUAUACAGUAAAACCUUGGUUUGCGAGCAUAAUUCAUUGCAGAAACAUGUUUGUAAUCCAAAGCAUUUGUAUAUCAAAGCGAAUUUCUCCGUAAGAGGUAAUGAAAACUCAGAUGAUUCAUUCCACAACCCAAAAAUAUUCAUCUAAAAAUGAUUAUAGUACUGUAAUAUAAUACAAAAUAAUAAGGAAAAUACAAAGCAUAAAGAAAAAUAAAAAUUAACCUACACUCACCUUUGAAAAUCUUUAUGGCUGUUGUGAGGGAGAUAAGAGAGAGGAGGGUUAUUGUGUAGGACGACUUUCACUAUCACUAACAGAAGGUGACUACAGUACAGUAUUAAUAAAUUCUUGUGAUAUACUGUA